rnacentral:rRNA from 1 species
ACCGUGCAAAGGUAGCAUAAUCAUUAGUUUUUUAAUUGAAAGCUGGAAUGAACGGUUGGACGAGAAAAUAACUGUCUCAAUUUAAUUGAAUGUAGAAUUUUAUCUAUAAGUAAAAAAGCUUAUAUGAAUUUAAAAGACGAGAAGACCCUAUAGAGUUUUAUAUUUUUUUGUAUUGAAGAAGUUUAGUAUAUUUAUAUUUUUAAUACAAAAAAAUAUUUUGCUGGGGCAGCAGAAAAAUUAAAUAAACUUUUUUUAUAUUUUUACAUUAAUUUAUGGUUUAAUGAUCCAUUAUUUAUGAUUAUAAGAUUAAAUUACCUUAGGGAUAACAGCGUAAUUUUUUUUUAGAGUUCUUAUCGAAAAAAGAGUUU